rnacentral:rRNA from 1 species
CUGGGCGUUAAGUUGCAGGGUAUAGACCCGAAACCCGGUGAUCUAGCCAUGGGCAGGUUGAAGGUUGGGUAACACUAACUGGAGGACCGAACCGACUAAUGUUGAAAAAUUAGCGGAUGACUUGUGGCUGGGGGUGAAAGGCCAAUCAAACCGGGAGAUAGCUGGUUCUCCCCGAAAGCUAUUUAGGUAGCGCCUCGUGAAUUCAUCUCCGGGGGUAGAGCACUGUUUCGGCAAGGGGGUCAUCCCGACUUACCAACCCGAUGCAAACUGCGAAUACCGGAGAAUGUUAUCACGGGAGACACACGGCGGGUGCUAACGUCCGUCGUGAAGAGGGAAACAACCCAGACCGCCAGCUAAGGUCCCAAAGUCAUGGUUAAGUGGGAAACGAUGUGGGAAGGCCCAGACAGCCAGGAUGUUGGCUUAGAAGCAGCCAUCAUUUAAAGAAAGCGUAAUAGCUCACUGGUCGAGUCGGCCUGCGCGGAAGAUGUAACGGGGCUAAACCAUGCACCGAAGCUGCGGCAGCGACACUAUGUGUUGUUGGGUAGGGGAGCGUUCUGUAAGCCUGUGAAGGUGGCCUGUGAGGGUUGCUGGAGGUAUCAGAAGUGCGAAUGCUGACAUAAGUAACGAUAAAGCGGGUGAAAAGCCCGCUCGCCGGAAGACCAAGGGUUCCUGUCCAACGUUAAUCGGGGCAGGGUGAGUCGACCCCUAAGGCGAGGCCGAAAGGCGUAGUCGAUGGGAAACAGGUUAAUAUUCCUGUACUUGGUGUUACUGCGAAGGGGGGACGGAGAAGGCUAUGUUGGCCGGGCGACGGUUGUCCCGGUUUAAGCGUGUAGGCUGGUUUUCCAGGCAAAUCCGGAAAACCAAGGCUGAGGCGUGAUGACGAGGCACUACGGUGCUGAAGCGACAAAUGCCCUGCUUCCAGGAAAAGCCUCUAAGCAUCAGGUAACAUCAAAUCGUACCCCAAACCGACACAGGUGGUCAGGUAGAGAAUACCAAGGCGCUUGAGAGAACUCGGGUGAAGGAACUAGGCAAAAUGGUGCCGUAACUUCGGGAGAAGGCACGCUGAUAUGUAGGUGAAGCGACUUGCUCGUGGAGCUGAAAUCAGUCGAAGAUACCAGCUGGCUGCAACUGUUUAUUAAAAACACAGCACUGUGCAAACACGAAAGUGGACGUAUACGGUGUGACGCCUGCCCGGUGCCGGAAGGUUAAUUGAUGGGGUUAGCGGUAACGCGAAGCUCUUGAUCGAAGCCCCGGUAAACGGCGGCCGUAACUAUAACGGUCCUAAGGUAGCGAAAUUCCUUGUCGGGUAAGUUCCGACCUGCACGAAUGGCGUAAUGAUGG